UGUACCUCUUCCGCAAGACGGUGUCAAAGCUGAGGUAGGUGUGAGAAAUGACGAAAGGCUCUUAAUCGUUUCAUUGUCUCGCAGCUGCUUCAACUGUGAUUUACCGACGCAGUUCUGGCUCUUU
rnacentral:pre_miRNA from 14 species